AGUGAACGCUGGCGGUAGGCCUAACACAUGCAAGUCGAACGGCAGCACAGUAAGAGCUUGCUCUUACGGGUGGCGAGUGGCGGACGGGUGAGGAAUACAUCGGAAUCUACUUUUUCGUGGGGGAUAACGUAGGGAAACUUACGCUAAUACCGCAUACGACCUACGGGUGAAAGCAGGGGAUCUUCGGACCUUGCGCGAUUGAAUGAGCCGAUGUCGGAUUAGCUAGUUGGCGGGGUAAAGGCCCACCAAGGCGACGAUCCGUAGCUGGUCUGAGAGGAUGCUCAGCCACACUGGAACUGAGACACGGUCCAGACUCCUACGGGAGGCAGCAGUGGGGAAUAUUGGACAAUGGGCGCAGGCCUGAUCCAGCCAUACCGCGUGGGUGAAGAAGGCCUUCGGGUUGUAAAGCCCUUUUGUUGGGAAAGAAAAGCAGCAGGUUAAUACCCCGCUGUUCUGACGGUACCCAAAGAAUAAGCACCGGCUAACUUCGUG
rnacentral:rRNA from 1 species